GAUGAAGAACGCAGUGAAAUGCGAUAAGUAGUGUGAAUUGCAGAAUUCAGUGAAUCAUCGAAUCUUUGAACGCACAUUGCGCCCCUUGGUAUUCCAUGGCAUGCCUGUUCGAGCGUCAUUUGUACCUUCAAGCUUUGCUUGGUGUUGGGUGUUUGUCUCGCCUUUGCGUGUAGACUCGCCUUAAAAUAAUUGGCAGCCGGCGUAUUGAUUUCGGAGCGCAGUACAUCUCGCGCUUUGCACUCAUAACGACAGCGUCCAAAAGUACAUUUUACACUCUUGACCUCGGAUCAGGUAGGGAUACCCGCUGAACUUAAGCAUAUCAAUAAGCGGAGGA
rnacentral:misc_RNA from 1 species